rnacentral:rRNA from 1 species
CGCGAAAACCUUACCCACCUUUGACAUGUACGGAAGUUGCCAGAGAUGGCUUCGUGCUCGAAAGAGAGCCGUAACACAGGUGCUGCAUGGCUGUCGUCAGCUCGUGUCGUGAGAUGUUGGGUUAAGUCCCGCAACGAGCGCAACCCUUGCCAUUAGUUGCUACGAAAGGGCACUCUAAUGGGACUGCCGGUGACAAACCGGAGGAAGGUGGGGAUGACGUCAAGUCCUCAUGGCCCUUAUAGGUGGGGCUACACACGUCAUACAAUGGCUGGUACAGAGGGUUGCCAACCCGCGAGGGGGAGCUAAUCUCAUAAAACCAGUCGUAGUCCGGAUCGCAGUCUGCAACUCGACUGCGUGAAGUCGGAAUCGCUAGUAAUCGCGGAUCAGCUUGCCGCGGUGAAUACGUUCCCGGGCA